ensembl:lncRNA
AGUGCUGGGAUUACAGGCUUGAGCCACCGCGCCCGGCCAGCUCUAUAUAUCUUGUAGAUAUCUAAAGAGUGUGUGUGUGUGUGUGUGUGUGAGUGUGUGUGUGUGUGUGUGUGAGAGUGUGUGUGUGUGAGUGUGUGUGUGUGAGUGUGUGUGUGUGUGUGAGUGUGUGUGUGUGUGUGUGUAUGUGUGUGUGUGUGUGUGUGUGAGUGUGUGUGUGAGUGUGUGUGUGUGUGUGAGUGUGUGUGUGAGUGUGUGUGUGUGAGAGUGUGUGUGUGUGUGUGUGUGAGUGUGUGUGUGUGUGUGUGUGUGUGAGAGUGUGUGUGUGUGUGUGUGUGUGUGUAACCGCAAGUUCACACAGAGACUUCCAUUUUCAACACAAUACCACAAGAUCCAUUCCAGUUUUCUUUUUAUAUUUCUCCCCCUCUGCUGGUACCUGGUCUCCUGCAGAAACAUUCUCCCUGCACAGGUUCUGAACCCCAUACCAGUCUGCCCCCUGCACAGACACCCUCCUUGCCUCUCAGGCUGAGUCAGGUGAAGGACUGACCUCUGUGGGUGCCCAUCUCUCCCUGCUCAAACCGCACCAACUGUCCGCAUGCGUGCAUGCUCUCUGCAUCCCACUGGGCUCACUCCCUAGAACACCCCCAUGGGAACUCCCUCCUCACCCUGCCUGGGCUCUGACUUCCCAGGCUAGAUUUCCCUUCCCCCAAACCCACCCCCACAUGGAUGUCCUGCUCACACUGCUCAAAUCUGGUCUGUCCACACUGGAGACCAUCCACUGCCAAAAAAAAAAAACAGCAAAACCAUACACACACAGACACCCUCUUACCCUGCUCAGAGGACUCUGACCCCCACACCAGGCUCUGAACCCCUCUCCUUCCUGCCAUGGGGAUGCCUUCUCUACCGUUCUUGAGCUCUGAGCCCUGCUCUGGGCACCAUGGCUUCCCACUCCCAACCAGGACACCUACAUCAUUAUGUGUGUGUGUAUCCUGUCAAUCUUCAUUAUUCAUUAUUUUGUAUUUGCAAAUUCAUCCACUUUCUAAAAUCUAUAUGUAACCCCAAAAUCAAUACUCUUGGCACUUUCCUACAUUUGCAGGGCAGCAAAAAAUUUGAGUCAUCUGACAUGCACAUUCCCAGUUGGGGGUCAAACAAGGUGGCUCUGCCUUCUUGUUUCAGCUCUCAUGCUGUAACAAGUGUCCUUUUCACAGUCUACUCAGUGCCACAUUUUCCUCAUUUGGGUGCUUUUUGUUGGUUAUUUUGCUGUUUAAAAUGACCCUUAAGUCUCAUGCUGAAGCAGUCUAGUGUGCCUAAGCAUAAGGCGGCUGUGAUGUGCCAUACAGAGAAAAUAUGUGUUAGACAAGCUUUACUGAGGCAUGAGUUACAGUGCUGCUGGCUUUGAGUUCAAAAUUAAUGAAUCAAUAAUAUAUGUUAAUUACAAUGCCUUUAAACAGAAACACAAGGUUAAACAUGGUUACGUAUGGAUCAGUUGAAAAAUGCAGCCAGGGGCUAGUGGGAACCUAAUCCUCUAUUUCCUUAGGGGCAGUGAAGUAUUAUAGUGUUUGCUAAUUCAGUAUUUAUGGUGACUUUAUAUAACUACUGCAAAUAAUGAGAACUGACUGUAUACAAACAUACACACAGGCACAUUUUAAAGAAAUUGCAACUGCCUAACGAAUUGCAGCCCUGAACGCAUCUCAGUAUCCACAUUCUCCGUGGCUUCACCCAGAAAGCUGACAGUGUUUGGGGGAGUUGCACAUGGAAGCUGUGGAGGUUGGGGUUCAGAGACAGCCAGACCUCGGUUGAGGUAGGUAUUAGAGGAAGUCUGCAAAGAAGUGGAGGACAAGUCAGGAGGCAGGAAAGCUGGAACAUUCUGAAGAUGAAAAUUUGGGAGAGGACCAGGGAGAGCGCUUAAAUUUAGGGUUACUGAGGAAAACUAGGAUAAGACAGCUCUGGAGAUGGCAGAAAUUCUUGAAUAUAUUCUACUAUAUAUGUUGAAUACAUCCAUAGCCUUAGCACUUAUUUACUUUGCUUAUUGUGUUUCUCCACCACUAGAAUGAAUCCCCAGAGGGUAGAACUUUUGGACUAUCUGCUCAGUGCUGUAUCCCUCAGUGCUUAGAAACAGUGCCUGGUAUAUAGUAGGAGCUAAGUUAAUGCUGAUGAAUAAAAACAUCUGUGGCAAAAAAAAAA